AAUAUAUUAAAGCAAAUUCUAUAACUCUAAACCAUUAAAAAGUAUAAUCGGAGUUUUGAUAUGUAAUCAGAAUAGCUUUAAUUUAUAGUUUUCUUAAUUUUAACUUUUCACAAGCAUAAAAUUAUCAAAUUGGCUACAAU
rnacentral:snoRNA from 1 species